UACGUAGGGCGCAAGCGUUAUCCGGAAUUAUUGGGCGUAAAGAGUUCGUAGGCGGUUUGUCGCGUCUGCCGUGAAAGUCCGGGGCUCAACUCCGGAUCUGCGGUGGGUACGGGCAGACUAGAGUGAUGUAGGGGAGACUGGAAUUCCUGGUGUAGCGGUGAAAUGCGCAGAUAUCAGGAGGAACACCGAUGGCGAAGGCAGGUCUCUGGGCAUUAACUGACGCUGAGGAGCGAAAGCAUGGGGAGCGAGCAGG
rnacentral:rRNA from 1 species